NNNNNNNNNNNNNNNNNNNNNNNNNNNNNNNNNNNNNNNNNNNNNNNNNNNNNNNNGGCGGCGGCUCGCGGGCAGCGGCUCGCGCUUAAUAUUCCUGCCCCAUUGGGUCUGCUGAUAAAUCUCCGCUCUGACGUCAAAGUCCUCGCUCCUGCUCAUGAUGGGCUCCGGGCUGCAUCACACGCGUGUGAGCGGAAUAGCAACGAGCUCCGGCGGCCGCCCGGCCCCGCACGCGGGCACGCGCACGCGCGGGGGGGACACGACACGCGGCCCCUCCUACGCACACGUACUCCCCCUGCACACACACACAACCCCUCCUAUGCAUACAUACACACAACCCCUCCUAUGCACACAUACUCCCCCUGCACACACACACACAACCCCUGCUAUGCACACAUACUCCCCCUGCACACACACACAACCCCUCCUACGCACACAUACUCCCCCUGCACACACACAACCCCUGCUGCGCACACAUAUUCCCCCUGCGCAUACACACACAACCCCUGCUAUGCACACAUACUCCCUCUGCACACACACACAACCCCUCCUAUGCACACAUACUCCCCCUGCACACACACAACCCCUGCUGCGCACACAUACUCCCCCUGUGCACACACACACAACCCCUCCUCUGCACACAUACUCCCCCUGCGCACACACACACAACCCCUCCUACACACACAUACUCCCCCUGCACACACACACAACCCCUCCUACACACACAUACUCCCCCUGCACACACACACAACCCCUCCUAUGCACACAUACUCCCCCUGCGCGCGCACACACAACCCCUCCUAUGCACACAUAUUCCCCCUGCACACACACACAACCCCUCCUGCAUACAUGUACUCUCCCCCCACGCGCACACAUAACCCCUCCCACGGGCACAUACUCCCCCAACACACACGCACGCACGGACAUACGCGUGGAGCUCCCCCCCAGGAAUUUCAUUCAUAAGAUUUCUGAGGCGCAGGGACACCCCUCCCACGAGGUGACAGCUUUGCCACCUCCACCUUGCGGCGGGGUGGCAGCGCAGAGAUCAAGCCACAGAAAUAAAAGCGGAAGAUUUCUUUCUCCCUGCCUAAGCCGGCACACACUCGGGCUUGCUGCUGGGCUGUGGCUGUCAGCGCCCCUGUCUGCUGCACCGUAAGACCCCGGGGGCGGUGCAGUUCAGACCCUUUUCCCCCAGAGAUCAGUUCAAGGGCGAUGUGAACAAUGGAGCUGGGAGCUCAGUUAGAAAUGUGCUUUUUCUGAAAUCAGCCUCUGAGAGCAGCUGAGAAAGCAUAGGGAUGCGUGUUUGGGGGGUGUGCUUGCGUGGGGGGAGGGUCUUGCCUAGAAGAAGCAGGAAAAUCAGGGCUCACCCAGCCAUGCUUCUCUGUGCCAGGACACAUCUGAUCAACAUGCCAUUUGCUUUGUUCCAUAGGGAGCCAAAGCUGCGGUCUGGAGCUCAGCAAGCUGCAGCCUCCUCCCCUUUAAGACCAGCAGGAUUUGGGGUCUAAUAU
rnacentral:lncRNA from 1 species